UUAGCCCAUGAAAGCUUAUGCCCAAAUAAAUGUGUUAGUCUCUAAGGUGCCACAAGUACUCCUUGUGGUUUUUUGUUUGUUUGUUUGUUUGUUUGUUUUUUUUGCUGAUACAGACUAACACUGCGACCAUUCUGAAAUCAGUCCACAGACUAAACUGUUGUGGCCACAGGCGGAGAAAAGGAGAGACCAAGGUGCUCCAAUGCCUGAAGCACCUGCCAUGGCAGGGAAUUGAUUAGGUGGGAUAUGCCCAGAUCCUAGCAGGUGUUUGUUUUGACUUGAAUGGGAGCUGGCUCAGACCCUUACUCACCUUUAUCAUGCAAGAUGUUGACUUGACUUUUCAAACACUCGUUGCUUUGUCAAAUUGAAACCAAUUUUCUCCAGACCAAGGCUAUGAUGACUACUUCCAUGCCCAAUUGCUUACUUGCAGACUUCAGCCAUUUUGCUAUCGCUAUGAUUUUUUCAUCAAAGAUUGUUUUCACAACAGAGAAUGCAUAUAUCCCCCCCCACUCGUAAAAUGGAUGCUCAAACUUUCUAAGAAUAUUCACCUACUAUGGAUUUUGCACUUGACAUUUUUCAUCUCAGGAUCCCAGAGUGCUUUACAAAUAUUAAAAAGGUGGGUUUUUAAAAUUGUGUUUCCUGAGGAAUUCUUAUUGGGUCUUUGCUUUUGCCCGUUAGUAAAUUAGAAUUACAACAGCAGUGAUGAGUGCUUAGUGCAUACCUGAAAUAAUCCAUAGUCACAUGACUGAAUAAUCUCACAAUAUGAAUAGCCGGACUAGUGCACAGCCCUAGAUCUUAGUUUCUGAGGCUCAUUGAGUAUUUAGCUUUGCUUCCACUCAGAGUUCAAAGGGGCCAACUCUGAUGGGGGACAGAAAUGGGUGCCCGCCAGUGCAGAGGGAGGAGGAUGGCAUACUUUGAAAUGCAAGAAAUUGAAGCUGUUUCCCAAUUUAAAUAUUCUACCCCAUCGCUUAUUUCUCAGUCUGUGAGAUGAGCCUUCUGGAGCAUUGCAGUAUGAGCAAUGCCAUAAGCACAGCAUUCCUCAUGGUAGUUUUGAUUGGCUGGUGCCAGGAAUGGGGAAGGGAAGGAACAGUAUGAUAGGGUUCACUGUAUUUAGUGGGAGUUUGAAAGAAUUGACCCAAUUGUCUCUGGCCUCAAGGAUGGGGUCGGGGUGUCGCUGGGCACGCUCCUUGGUUGAAGCAGGAAUGAAAUUGCUGGAGAUUCUGUGUCAGUUAGUACUUUUCUCAAAAGCCACAACAUAUUUCUGAAAACUCAACUUCCCCAUUUGGCUGGUAAAAUGGUGCAUAUUGCAGCUGCAUCUGGCUUGUGGGGUGAGGUGCUGGGAUGACUUGCCCUUUACCCCAUCCCACUGCAGAGGGCAGGGAAGCUGAGCAAUGCUGAAACUUGAGCUUGUGUGGAGGGAUUUGUUUUGAUGUU